UUAAACUGCAGGAAAACCCUUUGUUUUCAGGUUGGUGGGACAAAGGCAAUGAAAAUACAAGAGCUGCACCUAGAUUCUGCUUUAGCAGACUGGAUGUGUAUUGUCUGUGAAGAUCUGCAUGUGAUUCAGGACAAAAUCCACACAGAACAGGGGCAACUCAUAGUUAAUCCUUCCCGCAGCUAUGUUUUCUAUAUUUCAGACCUAACUUCCAAGGAAAAAACACAAAAGGUGACCCAGAGAGAAGAAAUUAGAAUAUCCUCUCUUACUUGCUGGCAAAUGUUAUUAGGUGCCACUAGCACAUGAAGAGAAAUGUGUUAUAAAGGGGGGGAAAAAAAGAGUAAGAGGUAACUGAAACUGGGUAAAACUGGCUGUUUGUGCAGCUGCCCAAAAAGCAAUUAGGAUUAAUUUUUAGAUGAGGUGUCAGGGGGUUUGUCUGUUUAUGUUAGCCACUGAAGAGUAAGGAGAGCACAGCUGAAUUAAGGCUGCAAUUUUUGGAUUUAUCCAUGUGAUUUAGGGUUCGAAGUCACUUUAGAAAGUGGGAAUUAAGCUCCCAAGCCACUUAGGGUGACAUUUUCAAAGGCAUCUAAGUCAAGUACAUUUGAUGUUAUCAGCAUCUGCCUUAGGCAUAUGGGUGAAAUUAGAUUAGUUGCUGAUGUAUUGUUUGCUGACAGUACACAUGUACAAAUCAGUAAGGCCAUUUUGUUUCACUUAUUUAAACCUCUGUUAGACUGCAGCAGAGAGAAAACUCCAGCAGUAAGUGAACUACUUCCAGACAAUACUGGUAAUGGUCUGUAAGUCUUGCAUUUAUUAGAUGGCUGUUUUUCCACCAUAAUAUGUUGGUAGCAAGCGCAAAUGAUCAUCUCCAGAUGAUUCUCCAUGGAUAGAUCCUCCUUCUUCCUUAAAAAGCCAAAAGCAAUUGCAGGCUAUCAGUAAUACUUCAAUAAAACUUUUUCACUCUAGAAAGGUCUGUGAGAACUCAACCUGUGAGACACAUUGGUUGCUGUACCAAGGCAGGUGAUUGUUGUUGCCUGAAUUACAGAUAAGAGACUCUGCCUCCAAGUUAGAGGCCCACAGGUUUUACUGGAAGCAGCAGCACAACGUAGUGCCAGUCACCUUUCAGAUAAUACUUUAGCACUUGCAAAUCAUUCAGUCUUUGGGAGAACAGCAGUUUAAGUUUUCAUUAUAUUUCUUUUAAUGUGGCAUAUAAAUUUUUUCCUAUGAAAACAACACAAAAGAAUCUUUCAUAGGCUUUUGUGGCUCAGCAGUGGUACUUUAUAUAUUGUGGCAAUGUUUCCAAACUUGGGAAAGCAUACCCUAGAGCACUCAACUUGUGUGUGAAAAUAAUGCCUUGGUUAGAAGUAGCACCACAUGGUAAAGCCUAACCAUGAGAGUGACUGCUCUGCCUGCUUGUUGUGCUUUGCAUGUCAUUUAUUGUGUGUGUGCAGAAACAGCUUUCUAGUGGGCACAGGCAGAAACCUGACUGGCAUCCUCUGUUUAUUUUUACUGGUUCAUUUGGGGGCAAGGCAUAGAAUACAAGAAUUGAAAGGAAGAAAUGCCUCUUUCUGUGCACUGAAUCCUGUUACUAAACAUUAAUAAACUGAAAGCUUGUUGCUUCAGAA